GCUAGGUUUGGUGGUACAUGUCUACAAUCCCUGCUACUUGGAAGAAUGUGGCAGGUGGAUCACUUGGGAGUUCUUAACUGCAGUGAGUUAAGCUGAUCAGGUGUCUGCAGUAAGUCCUGUACCAAUAUGGUGAGUCAGAGGACAGUUCCCAGGCUGCCUAAGGAGGGAUAAACCAGCACAGGAUGGAAAUGGAGCAGGUCAAAACUCUCAAGCUAAUCAGUAGUGGGCUUGGGUUGGUGAGUAGCCAUUGUACUUCCAGCCUGGGUGAAAUAGGAACCCCACAA
rnacentral:SRP_RNA from 1 species